rnacentral:rRNA from 1 species
CCUACGGGGGGCUGCAGUGAGGAAUAUUGGUCAAUGGACGAGAGUCUGAACCAGCCAAGUAGCGUGAAGGAUGACUGCCCUAUGGGUUAUAAACUUCUUUUAUAUGGGAAUAAAACAGGGUAUGCAUACCAUCUUGUAUGUACCAUAUGAAUAAGGAUCGGCUAACUCCGUGCAAGCAGCCGCGGUAAUACGGAGGAUCCGAGCGUUAUCCGGAUUUAUUGGGUUUAAAGGGAGCGUAGGUGGAUUGUUAAGUCAGUUGUGAAAGUUUGCGGCUCAACCGUAAAAUUGCAGUUGAAACUGGCAGUCUUGAGUACAGUAGAGGUGGGCGGAAUUCGUGGUGUAGCGGUGAAAUGCUUAGAUAUCACGAAGAACUCCGAUUGCGAAGGCAGCUCACUGGACUGCAACUGACACUGAUGCUCGAAAGUGUGGGUAUCAAACAGGAUUAGAUACCCCAGUAGUC